rnacentral:rRNA from 1 species
AUUGAACGCUGGCGGCAUGCCUUACACAUGCAAGUCGAACGGUAACAGGUCUUCGGAUGCUGACGAGUGGCGAACGGGUGAGUAAUACAUCGGAACGUGCCCGAGAGUGGGGGAUAACGAGGCGAAAGCUUUGCUAAUACCGCAUACGAUCUCAGGAUGAAAGCAGGGGACCGCAAGGCCUUGCGCUCACGGAGCGGCCGAUGGCAGAUUAGGUAGUUGGUGGGAUAAAAGCUUACCAAGCCGACGAUCUGUAGCUGGUCUGAGAGGACGACCAGCCACACUGGGACUGAGACACGGCCCAGACUCCUACGGGAGGCAGCAGUGGGGAAUUUUGGACAAUGGGCGCAAGCCUGAUUCAGCCAUGCCGCGUGCAGGAUGAAGGCCUUCGGGUUGUAAACUGCUUUUGUACGGAACGAAAAGACUUCUUCUAAUAAAGGGGGUCCAUGACGGUACCGUAAGAAUAAGCACCGGCUAACUACGUGCCAGCAGCCGCGGUAACAC